AUGGCGGCGGUCUUAGCGGCGCACGGCUCCCGCGUCUCGGCUUCGAUCAUUGCAGGUUUUGGAAGUGCUCUGAGAGGAAUACCAAAAGGAUUUUGUCCUCGUUUUUACAAUAUCCAAGCAUCAAUAUAUAAUGGACUUGUUCAUAGGAGGAAAAUUCCUCUUCCGUUGAGAUGCUCUUUUCGCUCUAUUCAAGCAAGAAAUAAUCACUCAUCAUCAGCUGUUGUACCUAAAGAUUAUUGUGAAACUUACAUCCAAUUUUUGAGAGACAAGCGGAUAGUUCCUGAUUCAGAUCCUCCAAGUUCUAAGGAUGUGGACCUACUGUACCGGUUUAUAGAUAAGAGUAACAAGCUCAUGGUAUUAACUGGAGCUGGAAUGAGCACCGAGUCAGGAAUUCCCGAUUAUCGGAGUCCUAAUGGAGCAUACAGUUCUGGUUUCAAACCACUUACUCAUCAGGAGUUUGUUCGCUCUAUUCGAGCCCGACGGCGCUACUGGGCUAGGAGUUAUGCAGGAUGGAGAAGGUUCAGGCGAGCACAACCAAAUACAGCUCACUAUGCUCUUGCUUCACUAGAAAGAAUCGGCCGUGUUCACACGAUGGUUACCCAGAAUGUGGAUAGAUUGCAUCAUCGUGCUGGUAGUAAGCCAGUUGAGUUGCAUGGAAGUGUAUAUGAGGUAAUUUGCUUAGAUUGUGGAACAUCCAUCAGCCGAGAGUCAUUCCAAGAACAAGUGAAGGACCUCAACCCAAAGUGGGCUCUAGCUAUUGACAGUUUGGAAGAGGGACAACCUGGCUCGAGCAGAAGUUUUGGUAUGCAGCAGCGACCUGAUGGUGAUAUUGAGAUUGAUGAGAAGUUCUGGGAGCAAGAUUUUGACAUUCCUAGUUGCAGUCAGUGUGGUGGAGUGCUAAAACCUGAUGUUGUGAUGUUUGGUGAUAAUGUUCCGAGAGAGAGAGCUGAUAGCGCUAAGGAGGCUGCAAGAAACUGUGAUGCUCUUCUGGUGGUUGGUUCAGCGGUAAUGACAAUGUCUGCUUUUAGGCUGGCAAGGCUUGCACAUGAAGCAAAUGCUCCAAUCGCCGCGAUUAACAUUGGGGGCACCAGAGCUGAUAGCAUUAUAUCUUUGAAAAUCAAUGCGAGAUGUGGGGAGAUACUUCCUAGAGUACUUCAGAUGGGAAGUCUAGCUGUACCAAGCAUAAGCUGA
rnacentral:rRNA from 1 species